GACGAACGCUGGCGGCGUGCCUAAUACAUGCAAGUAGAACGCUGAAGGAGGAGCUUGCUUCUCUGGAUGAGUUGCGAACGCGUGAGUAACGCGUAGGUAACCUGCCUGGUAGCGGGGGAUAACUAUUGGAAACGAUAGCUAAUACCGCAUAAUAGUAGAUGUUGCAUGACAUUUGCUUAAAAGGUGCAAUUUCAUCACUACCAGAUGGACCUGCGUUGUAUUAGCUAGUUGGUGAGGUAACGGCUCACCAAGGCGACGAUACAUAGCCGACCUGAGAGGGGGGUCGGCCCAACUGGGAAUGAGACACGGCCCAGAAUCCUACGGGAGGCAGCAGUAGGGAAUCUUUGGCAAUGGACGGAAGUCUGACCGAGCAAAGCCGCGUGAGUGAAGGAGGGUUUCGGAUCGGAAAGCUCUGUUGUAAGAGAAGAAAGAGUGUGAUAGUGGAAAGUUCACACUGUGACGGUAUCUAACCAGAAAGGGACGGCUAACUACGUG
rnacentral:rRNA from 1 species